rnacentral:rRNA from 1 species
CCUACGGGCGGCAGCAGUGAGGAAUAUUGGUCAAUGGGCGCGAGCCUGAACCAGCCAAGUCGCGUGAGGGAAGAAGGUCCUAUGGAUUGUAAACUUCUUUUGUCGAGGGGCAAAAGCCGCCACGCGUGGCGUUCCGAGAGUACUCGAAGAAAAAGCAUCGGCUAACUCCGUGCCAGCAGCCGCGGUAAUACGGAGGAUGUGAGCGUUAUCCGGAUUUAUUGGGUUUAAAGGGUGCGCAGGCGGGAUAUUAAGUCAGCGGUAAAAGUGAGAGGCUCAACCUCUUCGAGCCGUUGAAACUGGUUGUCUUGAGAGAGUGAGAGGUAUGCGGAAUGCGUGGUGUAGCGGUGAAAUGCAUAGAUAUCGCGCAGAACUCCGAUUGCGAAGGCAGCAUACCGGCGCUCAACUGACGCUCAUGCACGAAAGUGUGGGUAUCGAACAGGAUUAGAUACCCGUGUAGUC